rnacentral:misc_RNA from 1 species
AGGAAGACAAAUCUACACCAUGUAAGUUUUUCAUAAUCCAUUGAGAAAUGGAGCCAGAGGAUCAUUUUCUCCUUGUGAUAAAACAUGUUCUCUCAAAGCAUUUUUGGACAUGGGUCAAUGCUGCAUGUGUCAUAAUAGAUCAGUACAUUCAACUUGGAUGAUAGGCAUAGAAGAUGUGAAAUAAAUUGAAGUUGUGAUGAUAAUACAAUCAAGAAAAUCAGUUCACUUGUUCUAUGCAGAAAAACUUGCUCCCCUUGAAACUACCAUUUGAUCACCCUCCCCUGACAUCAGUUUAUGUCAUUAAGAUAGAGCUCUUUAUGUCCUUUGUCUUCACAAGAUCUACCUGUAGGCUAGAAUGGUGUGCCAAAUAUUGGUCGGCUUCUGUAUGCUACCAGAACAACAGAUUCUCAUAAAAUAAGUUUGAUUCUGGAAUUUGCAUAACUAUAUACCAUUAAUAUCAUUUAUUCUCAUUAGUAUGACCUCAGUUUUGAUACAACUCUUCUAUUCCAGGUAUGGGAUGAUAUGAUUAUUGAUUCAGCCCUGAA